rnacentral:rRNA from 1 species
GUGCCUACGGGACGCAGCAGUGAGGAAUAUUGGUCAAUGGGCGCAGGCCUGAACCAGCCAAGUCGCGUGAGGGAAGACUGCCCUAUGGGUUGUAAACCUCUUUUAUAAGGGAAGAAUAAUGACUACGUGUAGUCAGAUGCCCGUACCUUAUGAAUAAGCAUCGGCUAACUCCGUGCCAGCAGCCGCGGUAAUACGGAGGAUGCGAGCGUUAUCCGGAUUUAUUGGGUUUAAAGGGUGCGUAGGCGGGCAUUUAAGCCGGCGGUCAAAUGUCGGGGCUCAACCCCGGCCUGCCGUCGGAACUGGGG